ACAAGCCUGUGAUGAAACAAGUUAUCCCUGUCUGAACAACAGUGUUGACUUACUGAAACCCCUGAGGCUUGA
ensembl:snoRNA